UUUUAUUUGAGAGUUUGAUCCUGGCUCAGGAUGAACGCUGGCGGCGUGCCUAACACAUGCAAGUUGAGCGAUUUACUUCGGUAAAGAGCGGCGGACGGGUGAGUAACGCGUGGGUAACCUACCCUGUACACACGGAUAACAUACUGAAAGGUAUGCUAAUACGGGAUAAUAUAUUUGAGAGGCAUCUCUUGAAUAUCAAAGGUGAGCCAGUACAGGAUGGACCCGCGUCUGAUUAGCUAGUUGGUAAGGUAACGGCUUACCAAGGCGACGAUCAGUAGCCGACCUGAGAGGGUGAUCGGCCACAUUGGAACUGAGACACGGUCCAAACUCCUACGGGAGGCAGCAGUGGGGAAUAUUGCACAAUGGGCGAAAGCCUGAUGCAGCAACGCCGCGUGAGUGAUGAAGGCCUUCGGGUCGUAAAACUCUGUCCUCAAGGAAGAUAAUGACGGUACUUGAGGAGGAAGCCCCGGCUAACUACGUGCCAGCAGCCGCGGUAAUACGUAG
rnacentral:rRNA from 1 species